rnacentral:rRNA from 1 species
UCGCUCUUCAACGAGGAAUCCCUAGUAAGCACAAGUCACUAGCUUGUGCUGAUUACGUCCCUGCCCUUUGUACACACCGCCCGUCGCUACUACCGAUUGAAUGGCUUAGUGAGGCCUUCGGAUUGAGAUUCGGAGUUUGGCAACAGACCCUGGGUUUUAAAAAGUUGGUCAAACUUGGUCAUUUAGAGGAAGUAAAAGUCGUAACAAGGUUUCCGUAGGUGAACCUGCGGAAGGAUCAUUACCGAUUUUUAGCGAGCCUGACCUCUUUGGUCAUGGUCUCGCGAAAACUUUGUAUUUAAAACCCCACUCUUUAUUAUGUAAAUGAAUCAUUUAUUAUUAUUAUUUAUUAAUAAAUAAAGAUCACUUUCAACAACGGAUCUCUUGGCUCUCGCAUCGAUGAAGAACGUAGCGAAGUGCGAUAAGUAAUGUGAAUUGCAGAAUUCCGUGAAUCAUCGAAUCUUUGAACGCAAAUUGCACUCUCUGGCAACCCGGGGAGUAUGCCUGUUUGAGGGUCAGUGUAAUUAAAAAAUCGGUGGGUUGCACACCUCGUGUGUGUGACGUUUCCGGAGUUUGGGUUAUCUUAAUUAAACCUUCAGGUUAUAUAUAUUUAAGAGGCCUAAAAUUGACCAUCUUUUUGCGCAUUUUUUUAGACGUACAUAAAUUUUUUUUAUUCGUCUUGACUUGUGCCAAAAUUUUUUAUUAGACGCGACCAUGUAAUUCGUACGUGUCUAUAAGUUUAUUCAUGAUUUGACCUCAAAUCAGGUAGGAGUACCCGCUGAACUUAAGCAUAUCAAUAAGCGGAGGAAAAGAAAAUAACAAUGAUUCCCCUAGUAACUGCGAGUGAAGAGGGACAAGCUCAAAUUUUAAAUCUGUUAGGUUCUACCUGACCGAGUUGUAAUUUGAAGAGGCGUUUUCUGUGAUUCUGAUCAGUCCAAGUCCUUUGGGAUAAGGCAUCACGGAGGGUGAGAAUCCCGUUCGGUUGAUCAGGUCACUUUACGAUACGUCAUCAAAGAGUCAAGUUGUUUGGGAUUGCAGCUUAAAAUGGGAGGUAAAUUUCUCCUAAGGCUAAAUAACGGCGAGAGACCGAUAGCGAACAAGUACCGUGAGGGAAAGAUGAAAAGAACUUUGAAAAGAGAGUUAAACAGUACGUGAAAUUGUUGAAAGGGAAACGAUUAAAGCCAGUCGUACCGGCGGGUAAUCAGCCUUUUGGGUGUGAUUAUGUGGAACGUGAGGAGUUUAAUCGCCUUCAUGCCUACAUAUUCGUGCACUUUGGGUGUACUUGCUCGUGUUGGUAGGUUAACAUCAAUUUCGAACAUCAUAAAAUGAUUGGGGGAAUGUAGCUUCGAUCUCGUGUUGAAGUGUUAUAGACUCUGGUAGAUGUGAUGAUCGGGAUUGAGGAUUGCAACGGAUACCCUUAUGGGCUACCCGUCUGAUCUCUGAGAGUUACUCUGGUGCCGAAAGCGUGCUUACGGUAUCAAAGUUGACGUUCAAUAGGUUAGAACGGGUUAAAUUCGUUAAGGAUGUUGACGUAAUGGCUUUAAACGACCCGUCUUGAAACACGGACCAAGGAGUCUAACAUAUGUGCGAGUGUUU